rnacentral:tRNA from 1 species
AAGAAAAAUAUUUAUAUAAGGCUGGGCUGCUAACCUGGUUUUGGGGGUGGGUCCUCCUUUUCUUU